GACGAACGCUGGCGGCGUGCUUAACACAUGCAAGUCGAACGGAGUGGCGAACGGGUGAGUAACACGUGGGUGACCUGCCCUGCACUUCGGGGUAAGCCUGGGUAACUGGGUCUAAUACCGGCUAGUGUGGGAUGGUCCGGCGGCCUCUCAGCUGGUGGGUGGGGUAAUGGCCUAUCAAGGCGGCGACGGGUAGCCGGCCUGAGAGGGUGGACGGCCACGGUGGGACUCAGACACCGCCCGGAGUCCUACGGGAGGCAGCAGUGGGGAAUAGUGUACAAUGGGUGGAAGCCUGAUGCAGCGACGCUGAGUGGGUGAUGAUGGCCUUCGUGUUGUAAUCUCGAUCCACCAUCGACGCGGUAGAUGGAGAAGAAGCACCGGCUAACUACGUGCCAGCAGCCGCGGUAAUUC
rnacentral:rRNA from 1 species